UACGGAGGGUGCAAGCGUUGUCCGGAAUCACUGGGCGUAAAGGGCGCGUAGGCGGCCUGGUAAGUAGGGGGUGAAAUCCUGCGGCUUAACCGCAGGGCUGCCUUCUAAACUGUCAGGCUUGAGCACGGUAGAGGCAGAUGGAAUUCCCGGUGUAGCGGUGGAAUGCGUAGAGAUCGGGAAGAACAUCAGUGGCGAAGGCGGUCUGCUGGGCCGCAACUGACACUCAGGGACGAAAGCUAGGGGAGCGAAUGGG
rnacentral:rRNA from 1 species